GACGGAGGAUGCAAGUGUUAUCCGGAAUCACUGGGCGUAAAGCGUCUGUAGGUGGUUUAAUAAGUCAACUGUUAAAUCUUGAGGCUCAACCUCAAAAUCGCAGUCGAAACUAUUAGGCUAGAGUAUAGUAGGGGUAAAGGGAAUUUCCAGUGGAGCGGUGAAAUGCGUAGAGAUUGGAAAGAACACCGAUGGCGAAGGCACUUUACUGGGCUAUUACUAACACUCAGAGACGAAAGCUAGGGUAGCAAACCGG
rnacentral:rRNA from 1 species